rnacentral:lncRNA from 1 species
GUGCUGAAUUGCACUACUCGAGUAAUCUUUGUACAUUUCCUGUUUUUCUGGUUAUAAAUACAGUUCACCACGUUGUAGGUGCGGGGCAUUCUGAACCAUUAUUGGCUUGAUGCACUGCCUAGUUCCAUGUAUUUGUUGUUUAAAUAAGCUUUUAAAGUUAAUUCAUCUUGGUUUUUUGUUUAACAAAUUGGCAUAGUUAGUAGGGUCCAAAGUAGAACUUACAUUGUUUCCCAGAAGCAUCAAGCCUCUGCACGAACUACCCACAACCGCACUUUGGGCCUGCUGAUGUCUUAAAGCAUCUAAAGGCCCUGGGUUAAGUUUCUUGGAUCUCAUGCUUCCACUCAUUUCGGGUUUUCAGCUCUACAAGUUUAUCUGAGCAAACUUUGUUAUUCUUUUCUCUUUCUCCCCUCACCCUACUUUCUUCCCACCCCACUUUCCUGAAUUGGAUUCAGUUAAGACGCCUCAGUUGUUUUUUAACAGACAAAAUAUGAAUUGGGUUUCAAGUCAAAUUGGACUUAACACUUUUAACUGGAAUAGAUCCAGUUAAGGGACUCAGAUAGAUUGUUUUUUGUUUAUUUGCUUAUUUUGG